rnacentral:rRNA from 1 species
GACGAACGCUGGCGGCGUGCUUAACACAUGCAAGUCGAACGGAAAGGCCCUGCUUUUGUGUGGUGCUCGAGUGGCGAACGGGUGAGAAACCCGUGAGUAACCUGCCCUUGACUUUGUGAUAACUUCAGGAAACUGGGGCUAAUACCGGAUAGGAGCUCCUGCUGCAUGGUGGUGGUUGGAAAGUUUCGGCGGUUGGGGAUGGACUCGCGGCUUAUCAGCUUGUUGGUGGGGGAGUGGCUUACCAAGGCUUUGACGGGUAGCCGGCCUGAGAGGGUGAACGGCCACAUUGGGACUGAGAUACGGACCAGACUCCUACGGGAGGCAGCAGUGGGGAAUAUUGCACAAUGGGCGGAAGCGUGAGGAAGAAACGUCGCGUGCGGGAUGACGGCCAUCGGGUGGUAAACCGCAUUAGCCUGUGACGAAGCGUGAGUGACGGUAAUGGGUAAAGAAGCACCGGCUAACUACGUG